AGAGUUUGAUCCUGGCUCAGGACGAACGCUGGCGGCGUGCUUAACACAUGCAAGUCGAGCGAGAGAGUUUUCUUCGGAAAACAAUCUAGCGGCGGACGGGUGAGUAACACGUGGGUAACCUGCCUCAUAGAGGGGGAUAGCCUCCCGAAAGGGAGAUUAAUACCGCAUAACAUCAUUUUAGCGCAUGCUGAAAUGAUCAAAGGAGUAAUCCGCUAUGAGAUGGACCCGCGGCGCAUUAGCUAGUUGGUGAGGUAACGGCUCACCAAGGCCACGAUGCGUAGCCGACCUGAGAGGGUGAUCGGCCACAUUGGGACUGAGACACGGCCCAGACUCCUACGGGAGGCAGCAGUGGGGAAUAUUGCACAAUGGGGGAAACCCUGAUGCAGCAACGCCGCGUGAGUGAUGACGGCCUUCGGGUUGUAAAGCUCUGUCUUUAGGGACGAUAAUGACGGUACCUAAGGAGGAAGCCACGGCUAACUACGUGCCAGCAGCCGCGGUAAUACGUAGGUGGCAAGCGUUGUCCGGAUUUACUGGGCGUAAAGGGAGCGUAGGUGGAUUCUUAAGUGAGAUGUGAAAUACCCGGGCUUAACUUGGGUGCUGCAUUUCAAACUGGGAAUCUAGAGUGCAGGAGAGGAAAGUGGAAUUCCUAGUGUAGCGGUGAAAUGCGUAGAGAUUAGGAAGAACACCAGUGGCGAAGGCGACUUUCUGGACUGUAACUGACACUGAGGCUCGAAAGCGUGGGGAGCAAACAGGAUUAGAUACCCUGGUAGUCCACGCCGUAAACGAUGGAUACUAGGUGUGGGAGGUAUCAACUCCUUCCGUGCCGCCGUUAACACAUUAAGUAUCCCGCCUGGGGAGUACGGUCGCAAGAUUAAAACUCAAAGGAAUUGACGGGGACCCGCACAAGCAGCGGAGCAUGUGGUUUAAUUCGAAGCAACGCGAAGAACCUUACCUAGACUUGACAUCUCCUGAAUUACUCUUAAUCGAGGAAGUCCCUUCGGGGACAGGAAGACAGGUGGUGCAUGGUUGUCGUCAGCUCGUGUCGUGAGAUGUUGGGUUAAGUCCCGCAACGAGCGCAACCCUUAUUGUUAGUUGCUACCAUUUAGUUGAGCACUCUAGCGAGACUGCCCGGGUUAACCGGGAGGAAGGUGGGGGAUGACGUCAAAUCAUCAUGCCCCUUAUGUCUAGGGCUACACACGUGCUACAAUGGCUGGUACAAAGAGAAGCAAGACCGUGAGGUGGAGCAAAACUCAAAAACCAGUCCCAGUUCGGAUUGUAGGCUGAAACUCGCCUACAUGAAGCCGGAGUUGCUAGUAAUCGCGAAUCAGCAUGUCGCGGUGAAUACGUUCCCGGGUCUUGUACACACCGCCCGUCACACCAUGAGAGUUGGCAAUACCCGAAGUCUGUGAGCUAACCUGUAAAGGGGGCAGCGGCCGAAGGUAGGGUCAGCGAUUGGGGUGAAGUCGUAACAAGGUAGCCGUAGGAGAACCUGCGGCUGGAUCACCU
rnacentral:rRNA from 1 species